GAACCACCAGGAAAACUCCCUGCAAAUCCUGGUAAGUAGCCAGCUAGCAAAAGUUAAUGAAAUAUUGACCCUGACUUUGUGCAUAUACAACUUUAUGGUGUGUAAUUAUCUAAAUACUGUCACACUUGCAGCCAUGCUGUCAUAGGUCUAGCUAGUUCUCUGUCCGCUUCUACACACGCAUGGUGGACACAGUCAACCAGCACCGACUGCGCUAACGGAGAGAAGUUGAACGAAGAUAACAAAACAGAGGAGGUUGCAGCUUAUGGGAUGGCAAUGUAAGCUCUGCACAUGUGUGGCUUCAGCGAAAGGGUCACUUCUCAAGCACUAUCGAUUGAAGCACGGUACCUUUGGAAUCUGGGAGAAGAUGCGAGUGCCUUGAUCAAGGACUUUGAGGAUGCUGCUGAUGCACCUGUCAGUGUACAAGAGGAGUUGGCAGAGGAGGUGAUGAAGAUGUACCUGCUGCAGAACCAAGAUGGGUCAGUCGAUGAACCUACUGAUGUAGGGAUUGUGAUUGAGGGCAUCCCUGUCCUCAGAAGUCUUAGGGAUCUUAGCAGAGCCUGCUGCUAUCUGUUGGGACUAACCUAUGCCUUGGAUCUGAGAUACCCCAAGAAUCUCAAAUAUAGUUUUGAGGUAUUCCAAAAACUACUGUUGGAGCUGGAUCCUGGCAACCUUUCAACCAAGGUUCAGAGACUGAAAAAUUGCCUGCAUAUGUAGUUGCCGACUACUGUUCAGCAAGAUGCUAAAAGGUACGAGUUGAGAGUUCCAUUGAUUGAAUUGCAUUUUGGACUGGUAUUGUUGUAAAGUGUCACUGUUCUUGGUGCAUUUCAGUCAUAUGCAGAGUUCAGUUCAGCCCGUUGCUCCCAUAGCUCAAUGGAAAUGUUCACAUGCUCAUUGGCAAAAAUAUACCUGGUUGAAAGUUAAGCUAGAUAAAAUGCCUAAAAGUUUUAUUGCUAAAUAAUCAAAUUUGAGAUUUCCAUUGAUGCUAAGAUUUCUCUGCUGCAAUUGGUCUUGUUGCAUUUUACCCGUGUUUAAAAGGACCGCUUAGUUAUAUGCAGAGCUCAAUUCAGCUCAUCGUUUUUAUAGCUUGGCCAUUGUUACCAGGGCUCUCCCUUCUUAGUCGAUUAGUUGACUUUAUUUGUGGUUUUGGUCGAUGAAGAUUUCUUUAGUCAAUUAGUAAUAUUUUAAUGUAUUUUUUUUCAUGGUGAAUGACUUAUUUGUAAGAAACGUAUAUCUAUGAGUGGCCGUUGGGGACAUUAUUCAGAAAUACCGUUCACAUACACAUGUGAAGCACUC